GAGAGCCUCGACCUCAGCAUCCAGAACCGCGGUGGUUCAGGCCUGGAGGCUGCCUACAGCAUCGUGGCCCUGGGCGAGGAGCCGGCCCGAGCGGUGCACCCGCUCUGCCCCUCGGACACGGAGAUCUUCUCUGGCAACGGGCACUGCUACCGCCUGGUGGUGGAGAAGGCGGCCUGGCUGCAGGCGCAGGAGCAGUGUCGGGCCUGGGCCGGGGCCGCCCUGGCAAUGGUGGACAGUCCCGCCGUGCAGCGCUUCCUGGUCUCCCGGGUCACCAGACACACAGGACCUGGUGCUGGAUGGGAGCGAGUCCUACGACCCCAACCUGGAGGAUGGCGACCAGACGCCGCUCAGUUUCCAGUGGGCCUGUGUGGCUUCGACACAGAGGGAGGCUGGCGGGUGUGCGCUGAACUUUGGGCCCCGCGGGAGCAGCACGGUCACCAUUCCACGGGAACGGCUGGCGGCUGGCGUGGAGUACACCUUCAGCCUCACCGUGUGGAAGGCCGGCCGCAAGGAGGAGGCCACCAACCAGACGUGCUGGUGGAGGCCGCGCGCUCUUCCCUCUCUGUUUCUGAUGCAAAUUCUACGUAACACGACAGCCUGCUUCAGCUUUGCUUCCUUCCAAACCUGCCACAGUUCCACAUACAGUCUUCAAGCCACAUAUGCUCUAGUGACAAAAGCUACACAGUCCCCCAGCAAUACCAACAGUGCUGAUCCGCAGUGGCCGGGUGCCCAUUGUGUCCUUGGAGUGUGUGUCCUGCAAGGCACAGGCCGUGUACGAAGUGAGCCGCAGCUCCUACGUGUACCUGGAGGGCCGCUGCCUCAAUUGCAGCAGCGGCUCCAAGCGAGGGCGGUGGGCUGCACGUACGUUCAGCAACAAGACACUGGUGCUGGAUGAGACCACCACAUCCACGGGCAGCGCAGGCAUGUGACUGGUGCUGCGGCGGGGCGUGCUGCGGGACGGCGAGGGAUACACCUUCACGCUGACGGUGCUGGGCCGCUCUGGCGAGGAGGAGGGCUGCGCCUCCAUCCCCCUGUCCCCCAACCGCCCGCCGCUGGGGGGCUCUUGCCGCCUCUUCCCACUGGGCGCUGUGCACGCCCUCACCACCAAGGUGCACUUCGAAUGCACGGGCUGGCAUGACGCGGAGGAUGCUGGCGCCCCGCUGGUGUACGCCCUGCUGCUGCAGCGCUGUCGCCAGGGCCACUGCGAGGAGUUCUGUGUCUACAAGGGCAGCCUCUCCGGCUACGGAGCCGUGCUGCCCCCGGGUUUCAGGCCACACUUCGAGGUGGGCCUGGCCGUGGUGGUGCAGGACCAGCUGGGAGCCGCUGUGGUCGCCCUCAACAGGUCUCUGGCCAUCACCCUCCCAGAGCCCAACGGCAGCGCAAUGGGGCUCACAGUCUGGCUGCACGGGCUCACCGCUAGUGUGCUCCCGGGGCUGCUGCGGCAGGCCGAUCCCCAGCACGUCAUCGAGUACUCGCUGGCCCUGGUCACCGUCCUGAACGAGCCACACCCACCGGGCCCUCUCCGGCGUCUGCUUUCCACAAUGCAGCCCCCGCCCAGGAGGGCCCAUGUGCUUACCCUGUUUUGCCCAUGAAGAAACAGCUCAGUGUUGCGGGUCAAUGCCCACAUCACACAGCAUCUAGCACGUAACUGCACCCCGGGAGUCGUGGGCAUCUGCUGGCCUCCUGCCGGUCUCCUGCCCUGCUGACAGCUUGCUGUGCCGCCUGCCUGCCCCAGUACGAGCGGGCCCUGGACGUGGCGGCAGAGCCCAAGCACGAGCGGCAGCGCCGAGCCCAGAUACGCAAGAACAUCACGGAGACUCUGGUGUCCCUGAGGGUCCACACUGUGGAUGACAUCCAGCAGAUCGCUGCUGCGCUGGCCCAGUGCAUGGGGCCCAGCAGGGAGCUCGUAUGCCGCUCGUGCCUGAAGCAGACGCUGCACAAGCUGGAGGCCAUGAUGCGCAUCCUGCAGGCAGAGACCACCGCGGGCACCGUGACGCCCACCGCCAUCGGAGACAGCAUCCUCAACAUCACAGGAGACCUCAUCCACCUGGCCAGCUCAGACGUGCGGGCACCACAGCGCUCAGAGCUGGGAGCCGAGUCACCAUCGCGGAUGGUGGCGUCCCAGGCCUACAACCUGACCUCUGCCCUCAUGCGCAUCCUCACGCGCUCCCGCGUGCUCAACGAGGAGCCCCUGACACUGGCGGGCGAGGAGAUCGUGGCCCAGGGCAAGCGCUCGGACCCGCGGAGCCUGCUGUGCUAUGGCGGCGCCCCAGGGCCUGGCUGCCACUUCUCCAUCCCCUAGGCUUUCAGCAGGGCCCCGGCUAACCUCAGUGACGUGGUGCAGCUCAUCUUUCUGGUGGACUCCAAUCCCUUUCCCUUUGGCUAUAUCAGCAACUACACCGUCUCCACCAAGGUGGCCUCGAUGGCGUUCCAGACACAGGCCGGCGCCCAGAUCCCCAUCGAGCGGCUGGCCUCAGAGCGCGCCAUCACCGUGAAGGUGCCCAACAACUCGGACUGGGCUGCCCGGGGCCACCGCAGCUCUGCCAACUCCGUUGUGGUCCAGCCCCAGGCCUCCGUCGGUGCUGUGGUCACCCUGGACAGCAGCAACCCUGCGGCCGUGCUGCAUCUGCAGCUCAACUAUACGCUGCUGGACGGCCGCUACCUGUCUGAGGAACCCGAGCCCUACCUGGCAGUCUACCUGCACUCGGAGCCCCGGCCCAAUGAGCACAACUGCUCGGCUAGCAGGAGGAUCCGCCCAGAGUCCCUCCAGGGUGCCGACCACCGGCCCUACACCUUCUUCAUUUCCCCGGGGACCAGAGACCCAGUGGGGAGUUACCGUCUGAACCUCUCCAGCCACUUCCGCCUGUCGGCGCUGGAGGUGUCCGUGGGCCUGUACACGUCCCUGUGCCAGUACUUCAGCGAGGAGGACGUGGUGUGGCGGACAGAGGGGCUGCUGCCCCUGGAGGAGACCUCGCCCCGCCAGGCCGUCUGCCUCACCCGCCACCUCACCGCCUUCGGCGCCAGCCUCUUCGUGCCCCCAAGCCAUGUACGCUUUGUGUUUCCUGAGCCGACAGCGGAUGUAAACUACAUCGUCAUGCUGACAUGUGCUGUGUGCCUGGUGACCUACAUGGUCAUGGCCGCCAUCCUGCACAAGCUGGACCAGUUGGAUGCCAGCCGGGGCCGCGCCAUCCCCUUCUGUGGGCAGCGGGGCCGCUUCAAGUACGAGAUCCUCGUCAAGACAGGCUGGGGCCGGGGCUCAGGUACCACGGCCCACGUGGGCAUCAUGCUGUAUGGGGUGGACAGCCGGAGCGGCCACCGGCACCUGGAUGGCGACAGAGCCUUCCACCGCAACAGCCUGGACAUCUUCCGGAUCGCCACCCCGCACAGCCUGGGUAGCGUGUGGAAGAUCCGAGUGUGGCACGACAAAGGGCUCAGCCCUGCCUGGUUCCUGCAGCACGUCAUCGUCAGGGACCUGCAGACGGCACACAGCACCUUCUUCCUGGUCAAUGACUGGCUUUCGGUGGAGACGGAGGCCAACGGGGGCCUGGUGGAGAAGGAGGUGCUGGCCGCGAGUCACGCAGCCCUGUUGCGCUUCCGGCGCCUGCUGGUGGCUGAGCUGCAGUGCGGCUUCUUUGACAAGCACAUCUGGCUCUCCAUAUGGGACCGGCCGCCUCGUAGCUGUUUCACUCGCAUCCAGAGGGCCACCUGCUGCGUUCUCCUCAUCUGCCUCUUCCUGGGCGCCAACGCCGUGUGGUACGGGGCUGUUGGUGACUCUGCCUACAGCACGGGGCAUGUGUCCAGGCUGAGCCCGCUGAGCGUCGACACAGUCGCUGUUGGCCUGGUGUCCAGCGUGGUUGUCUAUCCCGUCUACCUGGCCAUCCUCUUUCUCUUCUGGAUGUCCCGGAGCAAGGUGGCUGGGAGCCCGAGCCCCACACCUGCCGGGCAGCAGGUGCUGGACAUCGACAGCUGCCUGGACUCGUCCGUGCUGGACAGCUCCUUCCUCACGUUCUCAGGCCUCCACGCUGAGGUUAUCAAUACUCUGGCUGACCAUCGUCAUCGUGGGACUGACUUUGGUGGAAGUCCUUGGUUACUUAUCAUUACUGUGUUUCUGAGAAGUUAUAAAUUUGCCAUCUCCCUCUGCACAACUUACCUUUGGGUUAUCAAUACUCUGGCUGACCAUCGUCAUCGUGGGACUGACUUUGGUGGAAGUCCUUGGUUACUUAUCAUUACUGUGUUUCUGAGAAGUUAUAAAUUUGCCAUCUCCCUCUGCACAACUUACCUUUGUGUGUCUUUCCUGAAGACUAUCUUCCCGUCUCAAAAUGGACAUGAUGGAUCCACGGAUGUACAGCAGAGAGCCAGGAGGUCCAACCGCCGUAGACAGGAAGGAAUUAAAAUUGUCCUGGAAGACAUCUUUACUUUAUGGAGACAGGUGGAAACCAAGGUUCGAGCUAAAAUCCGUAAGAUGAAGGUGACAACAAAAGUCAACCGUCAUGACAAAAUCAAUGGAAAGAAGAAGACCGCCAAAGAACAUCUGAGGAAACUAAGCAUGAAAGAACGUGAGCACGGAGAAAAGGAGAGGCAGGUGUCAGAGGCAGAGGAAAACGGGAAAUUGGAUAUGAAAGAAAUACACACCUACAUGGAAAUGUUUCAACGUGCGCAAGCGUUGCGGCGGCGGGCAGAGGACUACUACAGAUGCAAAAUCACCCCUUCUGCAAGAAAGCCUCUUUGCAACCGGUGCACUUACAAUUUGGUAUUACCUGGGAGUGAAAAGAAAUAUUACAGCCAUGCCUAACUGACUUCUUGAGGUCAGAAUGGCGGCAGCAGAGCAUCGUCAUUCUUCAGGAUUGCCCUGCUGGCCCUACCUCACAGCUGAAACUUUAAAAAACAGGAUGGGCCACCAGCCACCUCCUCCAACUCAACAACAUUCUAUAACUGAUAACUCCCUGAGCCUCAAGACACCUGCGGAGUGUCUGCUCUAUCCCCUUCCACCCUCAGCGGAUGAUAAUCUCAAGACACCUCCGAGUGUCUGCUCACUCCCCUUCCACCCUCAGCUCCACCCUCAGCGGAUGAUAAUCUCAAGACACCUCCCAAGUGUGUCUGCUCACUCCCCUUCCACCCUCAGUGGAUGAUAAUCUGAAGAAACUAACGAAGAAUAAAUAAAUAAUAUAAAAAUAAAAUGAAUACUGCAGUC